CAAAUUAUUGUGAACCUCGCAUUUCACGAGGUCUUGCGUCCAUUUUCGUAUUUAAAACAUCCUACUUCUUUAAAAAAUAUUUAUCUAAAUAAUAAAAAAAGA
rnacentral:misc_RNA from 1 species